rnacentral:rRNA from 1 species
GGAUCCAGACUUUGAUCAUGGCUCAGGAUGAACGCUAGCUACAGGCUUAACACAUGCAAGUCGAGGGGCAGCAUGACGAUAGCUUGCUAUUGUUGAUGGCGACCGGCGCACGGGUGAGUAACGCGUAUCCAACCUGCCCUUGUCCAUCGGAUAACCCGUCGAAAGGCGGCCUAACACGAUAUGCAGUUCUCAGCAGGCAUCUAACGAGAACGAAAUGUAAAGGAGAAGGAUGGGGAUGCGUCUGAUUAGCUUGUUGGCGGGGUAACGGCCCACCAAGGCGACGAUCAGUAGGGGUUCUGAGAGGAAGGUCCCCCACAUUGGAACUGAGACACGGUCCAAACUCCUACGGGAGGCAGCAGUGAGGAAUAUUGGUCAAUGGGCGAGAGCCUGAACCAGCCAAGUAGCGUGCAGGAAGACGGCCCUAUGGGUUGUAAACUGCUUUUAUGCGGGGAUAAAGUGAGUCACGUGUGGCUUAUUGCAGGUACCGCAUGAAUAAGGACCGGCUAAUUCCGUGCCAGCAGCCGCGGUAAUACGGAAGGUCCGGGCAUUAUCCGGAUUUAUUGGGUUUAAAGGGAGCGUAGGCCGUCUGAUAAGCGUGUUGUGAAAUGUCGGGGCUCAACCUGGGCAUUGCAGCGCGAACUGUGAGACUUGAGUGCGCGGGAAGUAGGCGGAAUUCGUCGUGUAGCGGUGAAAUGCUUAGAUAUGACGAAGAACUCCGAUUGCGAAGGCAGCCUGCUGUAGCGCAACUGACGCUGAAGCUCGAAAGCGUGGGUAUCGAACAGGAUUAGAUACCCUGGUAGUCCACGCGGUAAACGAUGGAUGCUCGCUGUUUGCGUCUGACGUAAGCGGCCAAGCGAAAGCGUUAAGCAUCCCACCUGGGGAGUACGCCGGCAACGGUGCAACUCAAAGGAAUUGACGG